GGUGGGUGUGUUGUCGCUCCAUCUGGGGAGGGAAG
rnacentral:rRNA from 1 species